rnacentral:sRNA from 1 species
AGAUGGAUUUGCAGCCGCUGCAAGUGUGUGGAAGGGCCGUGUUCGUGUUGGCAAAGAAGGUCGGCUGCUGAGCCAGGGCGUGUCUCCCGGAGGCCUGUGGGCUGCCAGGAUCCCCACCUCUCUGCAAUGGGCUGCCCAGGCUGGUCAGUUACCAGCCAGUGACAUCAUCAAGGUUCCCUGCUGUCUACCCUGGGAAGGGCCCAGCCUAAGUUACCAAGCCCCAGGCUCCCAGUACCACCCUCAGCCUAUGUGGAUUGCCACCCCACCUUCUGCCUGUCCUUGGGAGGGGACCGACUCUCAGCUCCCCUUAGCAAUCAGGUUGCACCCAGUCCCUUGACUUUAUGCCCAGGUUUCCUGGCACCUAAAGUAGAAACGAUGCAACUGCCCCUUGGGCUCGCUGAGGGCCAGAAGGGGUGUGACUUUGUCACGGAGCGUAGAAGUCACUGAGUCGAUGGUGAUCCCGCUGGCUGUUAACAUCGAUACAGUUCAGACCAGCCGGUUCCUGCUGGAAGCUCCU